rnacentral:tRNA from 1 species
AGGCGCGUAGCUCAGCGGGAGAGCACCACACUGACACUGUGGGGGUCGGGAGUUCAAUCCUCCCCGCGCCUACCA